CAGUCGCCACGGUAAUACGGAGGGGGCUAGCGUUGUUCGGAAUUACUGGGCGUAAAGCGCACGUAGGCGGCUUGGUAAGUUAGAGGUGAAAGCCUGGAGCUCAACUCCGGAAUUGCCUUUAAGACUGCCGAGCUAGCAGGUGAGAGAGGUAAGUGGAAUUCCGAGUGUAGAGGUGAAAUUCGUAGAUAUUCGGAAGAACACCAGUGGCGAAGGCGGCUUACUGGCUCAUACUGGACGCUGAGGUGCGAAAGCGUGGGGAGCAAACAGGAUUAGAUACCCCCGUAGUCCCUGUCUCUUAUAC
rnacentral:rRNA from 1 species